rnacentral:sRNA from 1 species
GGUUGCAACAUCCCCGUGGGUUGGGUGGUGGUUCGAAUCGGAGCCGGCACAGUGAAUCCACUGCAACC